UAGUCUCUUCUUUUUGUCUUGGUUUUCUGGUAAAACAUGAAAUUCAUUUGGGAAGUUGUUAAGUCCGCUGCUGUUCGAGGUCGAUUUCUGCGGUGAUUUCACGAUUUGGAGUUGGCCGUUGAAUCUAUACUCAUUUGUUUCUUCUGAUUCUAUUAAAAGUAAUUCUUUAUCAACAGGGACUUAUAUGCUUACUCGUUUGGGGAUUUCCAUUUUGCUUUAUCUUGAAUGCUUGAAUGGGCCAUAUGGGUUGGUAAAGGCCUAGCCCAUUAUUGAUUUAAUUGCUUACACGCUUAGGCAUUGGGUUGGUCGAGUGCAAUGAAACUCCUUAGUAAAAGUACCCCAUGAAUUCAGGCCUCUUUGCUCACAAUCACCAAUUCAUCCAUAAAUCGUAGUUUGCUUUAGGAGUGAUUUAAUCUAUAAUUGUGAUUGUGUACAUGUUCGCGUGACAUAAUUACGAUUUGUAAAAUAAAUCGAGGCAUACGUUUGCGCAA